GCCCAACCCCUGAUCAAAUCAGGGAUCAAACCAUCUCGACGAUUAGGUCAACUCUUAACCUAAUCGGGUCAAACCCAACUGAAUCUAAUUCAAUUGGACUUGAUCCAAAAAUAAUUACUCAAUCAAAUUGAGUUAAUUAGCGAUCAAAUCACUAAUAAAAUCUCUCAUAAUUAUUGAGUCCAAAUCCGAUGGGCAAUCGGGUAUCAAAGUCCAUCAAUAUGAAAUCUUGAUCGAAGAGUUCAAAUUUCAAAUUCAAAAUUUGAAAUUCAAAAUUUUGACCCUGGUACCCAAAAUGUGUGGAACUCAUGAUUAGAGAAUCCU
rnacentral:lncRNA from 1 species